AAGACUUUAAGUUAAAAAAACUAUAUGCCUUCAAAGUAUAAAUUAUUUCUAAAUAAGUCUUA
rnacentral:tRNA from 1 species